rnacentral:rRNA from 1 species
GAUGAACGCUGGCGGCGUGCCUAAUACAUGCAAGUCGAGCGAACGGACGAGAAGCUUGCUUCUCUGAUGUUAGCGGCGGACGGGUGAGUAACACGUGGAUAACCUACCUAUAAGACUGGGAUAACUUCGGGAAACCGGAGCUAAUACCGGAUAAUAUUUUGAACCGCAUGGUUCAAAAGUGAAAGACGGUCUUGCUGUCACUUAUAGAUGGAUCCGCGCUGCAUUAGCUAGUUGGUAGGGUAACGGCUUACCAAGGCAACGAUGCAUAGCCGACCUGAGAGGGUGAUCGGCCACACUGGAACUGAGACACGGUCCAGACUCCUACGGGAGGCAGCAGUAGGGAAUCUUCCGCAAUGGGCGAAAGCCUGACGGAGCAACGCCGCGUGAGUGAUGAAGGUCUUCGGAUCGUAAAACUCUGUUAUUAGGGAAGAACAUAUGUGCAAGUAACUGUGCACAUCUUGACGGUACCUAAUCAGAAAGCCACGGCUAACUACGUG